GAUGAAGAACGUAGCGAAAUGCGAUAAGUAAUGUGAAUUGCAGAAUUCAGUGAAUCAUCGAAUCUUUGAACGCACAUUGCACCCCCUGGCAUUCCGGGGGGCAUGCCUGUUCGAGCGUCAUUACAACCCUCAAGCUCUGCUUGGUAUUGGGCUCUGCUGGGACCGGCAGGCCUUAAAAUCAGUGGCGGCGCCACUCGGCUUCAAGCGUAGUAAUUCUUCUCGCUUCGGAGACCCGGGUGCGUGCUAGCCAGCAACCCCCAACUUUCUUAGGUUGACCUCGGAUCAGGUAGGGAUACCCGCUGAACUUAAGCAUAUCAAUAAGCGGAGGA
rnacentral:misc_RNA from 1 species